UCUCCCCUCCAGUUCAAGAAAGACCCUGAAGCAGGCUACGGGAGGGGGCAACUCUCUUUCCUUCCAACUAGAGGUGGGGAACAAAUGCAGGUCACAUAAACUUUUCUGUUGAGUUCUUUUCAUUCAUCAUUUAUCUUUUAAAAGAUAAAUUUCCAAGAGACAUAUUGCUGCUUCAAGGGUAUGAGAGAAGGGAUUCCCUUCAAGAACAAAUAUUGUAUGAAGAGGGACAGAAGAGAAACCAAGCUAUUUCUGGUGACAGGACUAGGUCCAUAAUGGAUUAUGAAAUAAAGAAAUUGAAGUCUAGUUAGACUAAGUGACUUGCUCAGGACCUGAAGUUAGGUCUUCUUGAUUCCAACUCAUUCAUUUUACCUACUACUAUUCUGCCUCAAGAUUUAAAAGACAUCUACCUACCUGAAGAUAGUCUGCUGGUGAGUUUAGAAGUGAUGAAUUUAUCCUGAAAGGGACAUCUUAUUCCCCUGAAUUAUUAUCAGCUAGAGAGAGCUGGUGAAGAGGUGGAAGUGAAAAAAACCAAUACAAAGAAAAACCAAUACAAAGGAUGAACAAGUGAUGGAAUUUCAGGCACUGUAUAGCAAGUUUGUAGAGAUAUUUGAAAAUUUUUUUGAAUAAUUUAGUGAGAAGUACUUUCUAUCAUUAUGAUACAACACAGGUAACUACAACUGGGGAAGCUCAUUAAAUGAUUUUCUGUUUUUAUUUGAGUUGGUUUCUCUUGGUACUUCUUGUAUAGCAACGUGCUGUAUAUCCACCCAAGGCAUCUUAUUGUCUGUCAUUGACUGGCUAUUUCCUUUCUUUUCUUAUUUGCAUUAUUACCUUCU
rnacentral:lncRNA from 1 species